rnacentral:rRNA from 1 species
GAGGUUUGGCACCUCGAUGUCGGCUCAUCACAUCCUGGGGCUGAAGCAGGUCCCAAGGGUACGGCUGUUCGCCGUUUAAAGUGGUACGCGAGCUGGGUUCAGAACGUCGUGAGACAGUUCGGUCCCUAUCUGCCGUGGGCGUUGGAUGAUUGAGGAGAGUUGCCCCUAGUACGAGAGGACCGGGGUGAACGAACCACUAGUGUACCAGUUGUCCUGCCAAGGGCAUCGCUGGGUAGCUACGUUCGGAUGAGAUAACCGCUGAAGGCAUCUAAGCGGGAAGCCAACUCCAAGAUGAAUCAUCCCUGAAGACCCCUCGAAGACUACGAGGUUGAUAGGCUGGGUGUGUAAGUGUUGAAAGACAUUUAGCUGACCAGUACUAAUAGGUCGUUUGUAUUUACUCU